rnacentral:pre_miRNA from 1 species
UCUUAUGGAUGAAUAAAAAAAGUAGUUUCUUGAGAUGGAAUCUAUUCUUCAUGAAGAUGCUAUGAA